CGCACGGGUGCGUAACGCGUAUGCAACCUACCUGUAAGAGGGGAAUAACCCGGCGAAAGCCGGACUAAUACCGCAUAAGGUGGUGACUGGGCAUCUGGUUAUCAUUAAAUCUUUACGAGCUUACAGAUGGGCAUGCGUCCGAUUAGCUAGUUGGCGGGGUAAGGGCCCACCAAGGCUACGAUCGGUAGGGGGCCUGAGAGGGCGAUCCCCCACACUGGUACUGAGAUACGGACCAG
rnacentral:rRNA from 1 species